AAACGACUCUCGGCAACGGAUAUCUCGGCUCACGCAUCGAUGAAGAACGUAGCAAAAUGCGAUACUUGGUGUGAAUUGCAGAAUCCCGUGAACCAUCGAGUUUUUGAACGCAAGUUGCGCCCGAAGCCAUCCGGCUUAGGGCACGUCUGCCUGGGCGUCACGCAUCAC
rnacentral:rRNA from 1 species